CCUCCUAAAACAAGUGAAGCUUCAGGAAAUAGAAGUGAGAAGUCUUGUGUGUGUCCACGUACGAGCUGUCAGAUUUAUUGACGACAUUAAUGGCUGUGAGGACAGUGUCAGCACUGAAGGCCCACUUCAGACGAGCAAAGACGCCACAGACGGGCGUCCUCUCCGUCGUGUGCAUGCAGACGGUCACCCGGAGAUAAAAGGGGAGAUUGGCAGCUCUGAGUGGCCAGCAGAUGAAGCGGCUGGCACGCUAAUGAAUAGAACGCUGAUUGCAGGAUCGGCAAGAUGCAAAUUACUGUGCCUGCCACCCCUGACGACCGGCAAUUACCGGGCCGCCACGGCGGACGCCUCGUGCAUAUUCAUUGCUCCUGCUGGGCAUAUUGAUCAACAACUUACUCCGAGCAAGAAGCACAGAAAUGUAUCACGUAGCUCAGUA